GACGAACGCUGGCGGCGUGCUUAACACAUGCAAGUCGAACGGAAAGGCCUGCUUUCCCUUGUGGAUUGCGGGUACUCGAGUGGCGAACGGGUGAGUAACACGUGAGUGAUCUGCCCCCAACUUGGGUAUAAGCCUGGGAAACUGGGUCUAAUUCCCGAUAGGACUGCAGGGUGGUGCCUGUGGUGGAAAACGAUUUUCUAGUGGUUGGGGAUGAGCUCGCGGCCUAUCAGCUUGUUGGUGGGGUAAUGGCCUACCAAGGCGGCGACGGGUAGCCGGCCUGAGAGGGUGGACGGCCACAUUGGGACUGAGAUACGGCCCAGACGCCUACGGGAGGCAGUAGUGGGGAAUAUUGCACAAUGGGCGGAAGCCUGAUGCAGCGACGCCGCGUGGGGGAUGACGGCCUUCGGGUUGUAAACUCCUUUCGACCGCGAGGAAGCCACCUGGUUGGAAGGGUGGUGACGGUAGUGGUAGAAGAAGCACCGGCUAACUACGUG
rnacentral:rRNA from 1 species